CGCCUCAGCUCUGUCCCAGCGCCCAGCUCAGCUGUCCCCGGGGCGGGCGAGGUGGGCAAUCCGUGUCACAGUGCACGGCGAGAGCACGCGUCCCCGGGCUCGUACCUCCCGCCCAUCAGCCGAUGAGAGCAGGACCAUCGAGGCUGCGCCCAGUGCCAAGGCUCUGCUCGCUCGCCCUUAUUUCAGGACCAGAGGCACGGGAUCCAAAAGUGGAAAGGAACCGUAAGGACCAUGGACUCACCCAAAGGUCUUGAUCUCAGGGUCAUGAGUUUAGGCUCCACACUGGGCGUGGAGCCUAUUAAAAAAAGCCAGAAAUGGUCAUCACAACACUGUUGGAAUAGGAAACUCUGGAAGCAACCCAAAUGUCCACCAUCAGGAGAACGGAUAUAUAACCUGUGGUACAGUCACACAGUGGGACAGCAUAAAGAGGAAAAGCACAGGAAACCCAGCUCUAAAGCAUCAGGAUCAUGCGUGGUUCUUCAAGCACGGUUUCAAGACCAUCAGCAUCACUGGGCUUGUUAACCACCACGCUCUCCUCCCCACACCAACUGGAUUAUAAACUGGGGCAGG